rnacentral:rRNA from 1 species
AUUGAACGCUGGCGGCAGGCUUAACACAUGCAAGUCGAGCGAGCGGCGGACGGGUGAGUAAUGUCUGGGAAACUGCCUGAUGGAGGGGGAUAACUACUGGAAACGGUAGCUAAUACCGCAUACCAUCAGAUGUGCCCAGAUGGGAUUAGCUAGUAGGUGGGGUAAAGGCUCACCUAGGCGACGAUCCCUAGCUGGUCUGCGAGGAUGACCAGCCACACUGGAACUGAGACACGGGCCAGACUCCUACGGGAGGCAGCAGUGGGGAAUAUUGCACAAUGGGCGCAAGCCUGACGCAGCCAUGCCGCGUGUAUGAAGAAGGCCUUCGGGUUGUAAAGUUCUUUCGGUAGGGAGGCGUUAACUGCAGAAGAAGCACCGGCUAACUCCGUGCCAGCAGCCGCGGUAAUAC